UUUUAAUUGUAUUUCUUUUCAUCUUCAUUUUUUUUAUUUAAUUCAAAAAAAAAAAGAAAAAAGAAAUCGAUUACCCAUAAAAUCUUACUACUUUACAAAAACUUCUUCCUUUUCCUUUUUCCUCUGUGAAACUUUUUCCAGUUAAAAUGGUUUUGUCUGCAUUCUGUAGCUUGACUUUUCAACGGACAUGGAUCUGAUUUUAUUUCUCUUUUCUCACGAUUUUCCUUCAGGAAUGAUUUCUAUUGGGAUUUUUCAAUAUUGACUUUAGUGGUUUUUUUUUUCUAAGCUUAAAUACCAAAACGAUGGAAAAUUUGACUUUUAAAAAUGAGUUAUUUUAACAGAAGACUUUUGAUGCAGAACCAAUAUUUCUGAAGCCCAUCUUGUUCUGCUUGUUUCUUGGGAAAACUCAAGAAACAAAUAUGCCUCAAUUUCUAUGACUUAUGUUGGUUUCCAAUUGAUUAAUUGAAAUUUGAAAACAUCUGUAAAGGUUGGCUGCAACUGUGAACUUAAAAAGUCAUUCCUUUUAGUAUAAAAAGUUUUUUCCUUUUUUUUUUUAUUUACUUUUCAAUAUUUUUCUCGUCAGCAAACAAAGUUGACACGGAAUUUCACCAAAUUUUUGUAGUCUAAUGCAAUAAGGCAACCUUUCUUUGCUGUCAAAAAGCUUGUUCAUUCAAUUUGUUCAAAGAUUUAUCAUUUGUCUAAUUUUUUAAGUCUUCUAUAUAGAUAAUCAGAUUCAAUGUAUGAAAGCUAAAACUGUUUACCCUUUGAAGCAGAAAAAUAACAUAUCUUGAUAAAACAACAAGAAGAAGAGAUUGCAAGAGUUUAGAGCUGACUGUGUCUGAAACAAAAGAUAAGAAAGUGAUAGAUAUAUCAACAAAGAGAUGGGAUCUUUCAAGGGUCAUGUUUUGCCGGGGACUCUGUUUCUGAUGGUUGGCGUAUGGCACAUAUGGAGUUCUGUGUUUCGGUAUGUGUCAAACCCCAAGUCUUUUGAGGUCAGAGUGUGGAACCCAGUUCCUGGUUUUGAUGGGAAGUUAAAAUACUUCGAGCUUUAUGUCGUCGCCAUUGGUGCUUUUAUUGAUUUGUGUAUUGAGCUUUUGUAUUCAACCCACCUCAAGUUUUUUGUCAAUGGAGUCUUGAAUCCAUCACACUUGAAUGAUUUUGAGCAUUCCGGGAUGCUUCUCAUGUUUUUACUCUUAGGUGCUAUCGCUCUGCUUUCAGAGAAAACGAGUUUUCUUUCAUUACCACAAGGAGCCCUUUGUCUUAUCGCGGCUGCAGCAUUCAUUGCAGAGUAUCUGCUAUUCUACUUUCACUCAACCACUCACAAGGGCCUCGAAGGAUACUACCAUCUUGUCCUUGUCCUUUUAAUUGGACUCUGCAUUUUGACCACUGUUGCUGGAGCUUUCUUGCCAAACAGUUUCCCAGUUGAUUUGUGUAGUGGAAUUGCUAUAACUCUCCAAGGCCUCUGGUUCUAUCAGACUGCUUUCACCCUCUAUGGCCCCAUGAUGCCAGAUGGUUGUCGGCUCACGGGAAAUGCAAUAUAUUGCCAUCCAACAGAUAGUGAGGUUCGAGGCGAGUUGAUUGCUAACUUCCAGCUCUUCUCUCUGGUACUGGGUGUCCUUGUUGCUGUUGUAGGAUCAUAUGGUUUUGCAGCUUCAAGAUAUGGGAAUUCUGAUCUUGGAAGCACGCAUUCGGUUCAGGAUGGCUGAGAAUGAGAUUCAAGCAGGGUAUGUAGUCUUGACUUGGGAUUUAAAUUAAGGUUUCUUGGGAGGGAGCGAUGAAGAUGCUUGACUUUUCAUUGUUGGGGAAAUACUGUGUAUUCUGUUUUUGUACAUGUGUAAGUUCGUCAAAAUCAACAGGGAAUAAUGAUGUGAUCUACAAAGACAAAACUAAAUUAUACCUCAAUUCAAUAUUCUUUUUCAUGCUGACAAUGGUAACUCUUCGCUCUCUCAUUUCAUUUCCGUUUGUUAUGCAAUUAUUGAAACUGGGAUUUAGACAAUUUUCACAGACCUUAAUUCUCUUCACAAAGGGGUGAGAGUGAGGUGGCUAGUGUUCAAACUUCAAUUCCCAUUCAUUAAUAGAAUAAUCUUUUAGAAAACAUAUGUAUAUACA